rnacentral:rRNA from 1 species
CGCAUCUGUGCAUGCAGCAUAUCAAUAAGCGGAGGAAAAGAAACUAACAAGGAUUCCCCUAGUAACGGCGAGUGAAGCGGGAAGAGCUCAAAUUUGAAAUCUUCAAGGUUUUACCUUGACGAAUUGUAGUUUAAAGAAGUGUUUUCUGCUGAAGUUUUGGUAAAAGUUCUUUGGAAUAGGACAUCAUAGAGGGUGAGAAUCCCGUAUUUGACCAUUACUUUCAACUUUGUGAUACACUUUCAAAGAGUCGGAUUAUUUGGGAAUGCAGUCCAAAAUGGGUGGUAAAUUUCAUCUAAAGCUAAAUAUUGGCGAGAGACCGAUAGCGAACAAGUACCGUGAGGGAAAGAUGAAAAGAACUUUGAAAAGAGAGUUAAACAGUACGUGAAAUUGUCAAAAGGGAAGCGUUUGACACCAGUGUUGUUUUGCUCGAAAAUCAAUUAAAAAUGGCUCGAUUUUAUAUUGCUGAGACCUUAAAAGCUCACUGUACAUUUUUCGUGUCUUUUUUAAUGCACUUUUCGUUUAACAAGUCAACAUCAGUUUCUUUUGUUGUAAAAGGGUCAUUGGAAGGUGGCUUUCUUUUCGGAGAAAGUGUUUAUAGCCUUUGGCCUCUGCAAUCGAAGAGACUGAGGUCUGCAGCGUAGACUCUUCGGGGUUAGAUACAUUUGUGCUAAGUUAUAGCUUUUUAUAGACAACUUGUUGACUAUGAUUAGUCUUGUAGCUUACUCGCUUAUGCUAUUUUACCUACGCUUAGGAUGUUGAUAGUCACAGCGUGUAC